rnacentral:rRNA from 1 species
UAAUACGUAGGUGGCGAGCGUUAUCCGGAAUUAUUGGGCGUAAAGAGUAUGUAGGCGGUUUAUUAAGUUUGGUGUGAAAGCUAGUGGCCUAACCACUAAAUUGCAUUGAAUACUGGUAAACUAGAAUACUGGAGAGGUAAGUGGAAUUCCAUGUGUAGCGGUGGAAUGCGUAGAUAUAUGGAGGAACACCAAUGGCGAAGGCAGCUUACUGGACAGUGAUUGACGCUGAGAUACGAAAGCGUGGGUAGCAAACAGG